rnacentral:lncRNA from 7 species
AGUUAUAGCAAGUAUCUCCUCUGGGCUUUGGGUCCACAAGCAGGCUUUUCUGAGUUGGAGACACCUGAAGGAGAGGUUUAGAGGUUAGGGCUGCAAAAAUUCUAGCCUACAUCCAUCCUGGUCAUGGAAGGAGACAACUGAUGGUUGCUCCAGGGCUCCCGGAUGACAGCUGCCUUGACAAUGGCCAGAUGAGCAAGCAAGGAUACCAGAAGUGAAGCUGUGUGCAUCUCUUGCCUCUGUAAGGGUAAAAGGAACUCUUGGUCACAUCCCAACCAUGGAAAUAUCUCAAUAGUUUCAGUGUAUGAGAGAUAGAUACAAUAACAAAUAGAACAGUGAUUUUUACACCUAUGCUACAUAAUCAUUUAGCCACUUCUUCAGUUGCACAACAGAACUUUGCACUCUUUUGGAGUUUUGUUCUGCAGAGUGAAGAACAAGAGCAGUAGCUUUCAAUUAUUUUACAGGCACUGCAAUGUGGCAGCAAUGGAUUGCAGACAAUCAUGAGCCGAGUUUGAAACAGACAGCUCUAGUGCCUACAACAGGAUAAAGUGGCACAGGGAGGUCAGCACUUUAAUGCCAAGUAGGUUGUAUUUUGCCUCCCAAGCAACAUGGUCACAUGUGGAACUCCACAUAACCAUGGCUUCAAGCAUCCAGCUUUGCUAGCUUAUAUACCACUUUGCUGCAAUGAAGAGAUAUGGAAGCUACAAAGGAGGCCUAGCAAGGAGCAUUUCAUAUGCAGGCUUGAGGAUACUUAAAUAGAGUUGACUUCAAAUUGUUCUUUUGGGGGAAAAAAAAAAAAAGACAACUAAAUCAGGAGAAAACAGGAUGUAUCUGAAUUGUUCUGACAAAUUCUUAAUGAUAAUUGAAAAUAUUUUAAGUUGAAACAACUCCUUUUCCUCUCCUGCUCCUUCAAGCUCUCUAAGGCUGUGUUUAGAAAACACUGAAGUCAAACUGACCAGUUGGUAAAUGGGGGGUUCUGAAAUUAGUGAGGCUGAACCUCAGCUGAAGUUGUCUAAGCCAUUGGUUGCUGGCUUUGAAUUUGUUCUCAUAAAGUUGCUCACAGCAGCGACACAUUUGGAAAUGCAGAGAUGACUUAAGAAAAGGGUUAUAAAAGACUUUACUAAUGAAUGUGUGUCACAACUGCUUUGGCUCUUGUUCCCAUAGCAUACUUCCAACAAAAUCAAAUGUAGAUUCCUAAGGGCAUAAGUUGGAAGUCAUCCUGCCUCAAAGAGCUUGGACCUCUCUCUUAAGUAGGACAGAACUCUGCUGAGACCUCACAGAAGUAUUGACUGCAAAUGACUGUGGGCAACAAUUUCAAAGAACCUUCAGAGAUUUACUUGUAUAGUUAUUGUCUCUUAAGAGAGAGUUAUUAGGUACAGUUGCUUUAUUCAUGAAUCUCAGAAUUAAUUUUAAUCCAGCAUUCUAAUAAGUGUUCAAGGCAUUUUACUUCAUCGUUUUCAGGUCUUGUCCCCUAGACAAAAAGGUCUAUUUUUAACUUGUACCACUUCAAUCAAGUUACAACCUGAAAUUAGUAAUACAACUCAACCUACUAACUGGUGCAUGGAAUAGUUAAGAGGUCACAGUAAAUGCCAGCAGCACUUUCUGUAAAACAAAUACACAACAAGCAAAGACAAGACCAGUCAGUAAAUAAAGGUGAGUUGAAAUCAACUUUGUUGGAAAGGAGAAGUGUUAUAAUGAAAUUACAGUGCUUUGUAAGACUUAAAGUGAUGUCCACCAUAAAAGAUAAAAUUAAUUUACUGGAAAUAAACUUGUGAAUAUGAGUACCAUUUUGUGAAAGGCCAAGUUCUGACAUUUAGUAAAGCUGUAAAAAUGUUUUUGAAAGCAGCCCUUCAUUGUGAUUAUCACUGUUCUUAUGCAUUAAAAUUGAAAGAACUAAGAAAGACCAAAAAGGACUGAAAGAGUAAAAUAUUUUGCAAUUUCGAAGUAUUUGAUACAUUGAAGCUUUAAGAUGUUUUAAUACUCCUUGCUCUGCAAACAUGCUUCAGUUUGUUAAUAAAGAAAUGUUCUGAUACAAAGCAUCCACGAGGAUUAACAUGCAAAUAAAAUGCAUAU